rnacentral:rRNA from 1 species
UAAAGAACCUGCCUCAUAGACUGGGACAACUAUUGGAAACGAUAGCUAAUACCGGAUAACAGCAUUAACUGCAUGGUUGAUGUUUAAAAGCUGGUUUUGCUAACACUAUGAGAUGGCUUUACGGUGCAUUAGCUAGUUGGUGGGGUAAAGGCCUACCAAGGCGACGAUGCAUAGCCGACCUGAGAGGGUGAUCGGCCACACUGGGACUGAGACACGGCCCAG